rnacentral:rRNA from 1 species
CACGUAGGCGGCCAUUCAAGUCAGAGGUGAAAGCCCGGGGCUCAACCCCGGAAUUGCCUUUGAAACUAGAUGGCUUGAAUCUUGGAGAGGCGAGUGGAAUUCCGAGUGUAGAGGUGAAAUUCGUAGAUAUUCGGAAGAACACCAGUGGCGAAGGCGACUCGCUGGACAAGUAUUGACGCUGAGGUGCGAAAGCGUGGGGAGCAAACA